ensembl:lncRNA
UCUGUCUCCCAAUGUAAAAAUGGCGGUUUUGGGCCCCCCAUACAAUAAAUGUCGUUUCGAGCUCCCCCCCCCAUACAAAAAACUGGACGGUUUCGAGUCCCCCCCCAUACAUUAAAUGUCAGUUUCGAGUCCCCCCCCAUACAAAACUGUCGGUUUCGGGUCCCCCGGCAGCAGUUUGGGCACUGAUGGGCGUCCCCCCCAAACCAACGGUUUAUAGGCCCCCCCGCACUUAUGGGCAGGGAUGGGUGCCCCCCCCCGGCACUUAUGGGGCAGCUAUGGGGCAGGGAUGGGUGCCCCCCCGCAACUUAUGGGCAGCUAUGGGCAGGGCAUGGGUGCCCCCCCCGGCACUUAUUGGGCACCUAUGGCAGGAUGGGUGCCCCCCCCGGCACUUAAUGGGCAGAGCUAGGGGCAGAAGGAUGGGUGCCCCCCCUGGCACGUAUGGGGACAAGCUAUGGAGGAUUGGGUGCCCCCCCCCCGCACUUUGGGCAGCUAAUGGGGAGGGAUGGGUGCCCCCCCUGGCUUUAAUGGGCAGCUAUGGGGCAGGAUGGAUGUUUUUCCACACCCGUGGUUGGUUAUGGUGCGGUUAUGGGCAGCUGUGGCGUCCCCAACUCGGGUUAUGGGCGGAUCUGGAGGUUCGGGUGUUCCCCCGGCAGCCCGCUAAUGGGGGCAGGGAUGGAAGAUAUGGGGCAGGGAAUGGAAGAUAUGGGGCAGGGAUGGAAGAUAUGGGGCAGGGAUGGAAGAUAUGGGGCAGGGAUGGAAGAUAUGGGCAGGAUGGACAGAUAUGGGCAGGAAUGGAAGCUAUGGGUCACCCCCCACGCGCAGCGCAGUUAUGCGGCAAUUGA